ACACCCACACACACCUACUCAUUCACACACACACUCACACACACACACUCACUCACUCACACCCACACACACACACACUCACUCACACCCACACACACACACACUCACACACACACCUACUCACACACACACACACUCACACACACCCACACACACACACACACACCCACACACACUCACACCCACUCACACCCACUCACACUCACACCCACCCACUCACACACACCCACUCACACACCCACACACACACACUCACACCCACACACACACACACACCUACUCAUUCACACACACUCACACACACCCACUCACACACCCACACACACUCACACACACCCACACACACACACUCACUCACACCCACACACACACACACACCUACUCAUUCACACACACACUCACACACCCACUCACACCCACUCACACACACCCACCCACUCUCACACCCACACACACUCACACACACACACACACACCCACACACACACACACACUCACUCACACACACCCACACACACACACCCACACCCCCCCCCACUCACACUCACACCCACUCACACACACACACACCCACUCACACCCCCCCCACUCACACUCACACCCACUCACACACACACACACACACACCCACCCACUCACACACACUCACACACCCCCCCACACACACUCACACCCACUCACACUCACACCCACUCACACCCACUCACACUCACACCCACACCCACUCACACCCACUCACACACACACACACCCACUCACACUCACACCCACUCACACCCACUCACACUCACACUCACACACACUCACACCCCCCCCCACUCACACUCACACCCACUCACACACACACACACACACACACACCCACUCACACACACCCCCACACACACUCACACCCACUCACAAUCACACCCACUCACACUCACACCCACUCACACACACUCACACCCACUCACACACUCACACACACACACACCCACCCCCCCACACACACUCACACCCACUCACACUCACUCACACCCACACACACCCACACCCACACACACUCACACCCACUCACACACACACUCACACCCACUCACACACCCACACCCACUCACACACUCACACACUCACACACACACACACACACACACACCCACUCACACACACUCACACCCCCCCACUCACACCCACUCACACACACACACCCACUCACACACACUCACACCCCCCCCCACUCACACUCACACCCACUCACACACACACACACCCACCCACUCACACACACUCACACACCCCCCCACACACACUCACACCCACUCACACUCACACCCACUCACACCCACUCACACACCCCCCCACACACACCCACACCCACACACACUCACACCCACUCACCCACUCACACACACUCACACCCCCCCCCACUCACACUCACACCCACUCACACACACACACACCCACCCACUCACACACACUCACACACCCCCCCACACACACUCACACCAACUCACACUCACACCCACUCACACCCACUCACACACCCCCCCACACCCCCCCACACCCACACCCACUCACCCACUCACCCACUCACACACCCACACCCACUCACACACUCACACACUCACACACCCACUCACACACUCACACACUCACACACACACCCCCCCCCCCCACACACACACACCCACAGCUCUGAGUGUUGUGCUCACGGUUCCGGCCCACUGGGCCCCUUCCACCCGGGGGUCCGUGGGGGGCAGAGAAGAGGGCCAGCUGGGGGGUCGGGGACUGGCCAUCGCUGACGAUGACCUCGUCUUCAUCUUCCAGCUCGUUGCCAUGGAGCUCCGGCAGCUUCACCUUCCUUCAAGAAUGGAAGGCACAGUCAGGCAUCAGCUCGAGCCACCAUCGUGCACGCCGUCUACUCGUGCACGCCGCCUACUCGUGCACGCCGUCUGCUGGCCCCACCUCUUCCUUCUGGUCUUUCUGGUCGCAGGGACGUUCUGCUCCUCUCCGUCCCCCCCCGGCUCAUCGGUGGUUCCGUUGGGUACGUCCAGAUUGUCCGUGUCCUGGUCUACAACACAAGACGGCCCUCUGGGGACUGAAGAAAGAGACCGAUCGUGUCCCACAUGGAACCUACCAGUUGGGGGGGUUCUCUUCUUUUUCUUCUUCUUCUGUGGUGCUGGGUCUCCAGGCUCUGAAGUCAGGGGGUCUCUGCUGGUGGUCCCAUCCUCGGUCUCCAUUUCCAGAGCAACUACAGAAGAUUGGAGAACGUGCUGA
ensembl:lncRNA